GACGAACGCUGGCGGCGUGCUUAACACAUGCAAGUCGAACGGUGAAAGCGGAGCUUGCUCCGCUGGAUCAGUGGCGAACGGGUGAGUAACACGUGGGCAACCCGCCCCUCACUUCGGGAUAACUCCGGGCAACCGGGGCGAAUAACGGAUCUGACCUCUGCGGCCAUCCGCGGAGGGGGACAGCUUUGCGGUGAAGGAUGGGCCCGCGGCCUAUCAGCUUGUUGGUGAGGUAGUGGCUCACCAAGGCGACGACGGGUAGCCGGCCUGUGAGGGCGACCGGCCAGACUGGGACCGAGACACGGCCCAGACUCCUACGGGAGGCAGCAGUGGGGAAUAUUGCGCAAUGGGCGAAAGCCUGACGCAGCAACGCCGCGUGCGGGAUGACGGCCUUCGGGUUGUAAACCGCUUUCAGCAGGGAAGAAGCCGCAAGGUGACGGUACCUGCAGAAGAAGCACCGGCUAACUACGUGCCAGCAGCCGCGGUAA
rnacentral:rRNA from 1 species